rnacentral:lncRNA from 1 species
GUGACUUUGUAGAUAUUUUGCUUCCGCUAGAACCCGCCAGAUUUCAAAUGGUGUAAAUUAAAGGCGGUAUUUUAUGGAAUUCUGUAAUAAUGCCACUGUUAGGAAAGAAACCGUUCGUUUGUUCGAAACCCCUAUCAGAUAUUCAACCAGAUGAGACCGUAUAUAUAAUCCCACACACCAAAGAACAGUUCAAAUCUAAGCAGUAUCCUUGCUAAACAAUCACCUGUCCAAUUCAAUAUGGCGGCGUACAUAAAUCGCGAAGUUUGCAUAAAGACGUAUUGAUGUUCAUAUUCAAACACAAUGAAAAAUGAUAUUAAAACUAUCAAAAUCUUAACCCAUUCUAUCAUUUAGAAUUCAGAUAUGUUGUGUUUUGCUAGUUGUUGUCGUGUUGUUUACAUGUUUUGGCGCAAAACACAUUCAAGCAUUUUCAUACUUUCUGUUUCACCUCUGUAUUGUGUUAUUAUAUAAUAUCUAACUGUUUAGAGGGGAUAAUAUAUUUUUUCCUUGUCAAACAGUAUUGAUAUAUUCUAAGCAGAAUUGGCCACAGUACAUGCAGGGCUCACAUGAGUCUGUUGAAUCUACAAGUCGUGGAUCAAUACACCUUAUCGCUAUUUGUCGCCAUACUGAUAUCACACAGGUCCCGCAAAAUUUUGAAUCUAAAACAAAUGUCUGACGCCACAAUGGAAAAGUGAUUGUUGUUGAUGUCAAAAGUUAAAGCGGCCGGGAUAUUAGCGAUAAGGUGUAUAACUAUUUGCCUGCCAUUACUAGAUGAAUCAGGGUCCGUCCGCCCUGAUUCUGGUUCGCCCUAGUUUCUGUUCGCCCUAAUACCUGUUUCCCCGAGUCCGUUCGCCCUGAUUUUAUUUUUUACGGUAUAGUGUUGCGUUGUGUGUAUAUAAUUGAAUGUGUUGAAGUCAGUCUACAAUUUCGCCGAUUGUUUACGAUGUUUCAUGUUAACUUGUCUAAAGCUAGCUGCUAUACUAGACUAAGGUUAUCAGUUUCAGUACAUUUCAGGACUACAAGAUAUUGUGACUUCAAGGUAUUUAGGACUAAGUUUGUAUCUGUAUUUACGUUACUAGGAAAUAUAAGUUUCUGUGAAUUUCAGCACUGCAUUGUAUUUUUAAAUGUAAAACAACUGAAGACUAAAUUAUUUGUAUGUAAUUAUUCUAAUUUGAAUAUGUUGAAGUUUACAUCACCGAAUAUUUAUUUAUGAUGUAUAUUCUGUGGUACUGCUAUCAUAGAAAAUAAGUUUCUCGGAAUUUCAGCACUACAUUGUAUUUUAAAUGUAAAAACUGAAGACUAAGUUGUUGUCUUGCUGCUACGAGGAUAAGUUUCUGUGAAUUCAAAGACUACAAAGUAUUUGACAUAAAACAAGACAAUUUAUAUAACAAUUAGUGAUAUCAAAGGUUUCAAAUGACACCUAAUGGUAAAUCGGCAAUCAAAAUUCAAUCAACACAUGCAACAGUAAUUAAAAGUAAUUAUAAAAUAAAGUGUAACAAUGCAGCCAAGAAUUUUAUUUAAUUAAUAUAAAUUUGGCAAUAUUCUGUAUUAAACUUUCAAUAGAUAUAUAUAUACAUAAAUUUUAAUAUAUAUCAUUAUAUUUCCUUCAUUGAUGUAACAUAUACAUAUCAUAAAUGAAUAUAGGGCGAACGGACUAUCAGGGCGAACAAACUCAGUGCGAACGAACCUAGGGCGAACAUGUAAUCAGGGCGAACGAUCCCGAUACCUUACUAGAUAGCAUUGUUCUGAUGAUCAGAAUUAGUCAGAAGUGAGUUGGUUGGGCCUUGCAAUAUCAGUAGGGGAUCUGAUCCCGGAACCUGUUUAUUGUUUUAAUAGAGAGAAUCUCAUAUCCCCCUAAGGCCUUCUUGCCGUAAUAGGGCAUGUAAUUUCCUGUGUCCCCCCGGAAUUUGUUUCCGGUUUUCACGCUAAUUAUUUGACUUUCACUUGCCAUACUUAAAAAUUAUCUGCCAAUCCUUCAUCAGUCUUUGACCCAAAUGAGACCCACUCAAUAAUAACUUUAUAACCAGUAGCCAGUUGGUUGUUGUCAACUGAUAGUAAAAAUAAUCCAUUGAUAAUUUCGAAACGAUUAUCCAACACUAAAAAUAAUAGAAAGUAUCUGAUGCCACAAAGUGAUUGUUGUACAGCAUCAAUAGUUCAAGAGAUUAAAUCUGGUUGAGCCGCACAGAUUUUCAAAAUGGAAUAAGGUCUAUAAACAUGUAGCUGUGGAAUCAUAGCUAAUAUACAUGUCCUUAUGAUAAUUUUUGACAAAUUCUGCAAAUUUUCAUAAAUACUACAAGGACCUGGGAGCUACUGUUGCACAGCUUAGAUCAAUACAGCUAAAAAUAUUCUAUAAUUGACCCAAUAUUGGAACAGUCAGUUCAAAACACUUGUAUAAUGAUUAUAAUUUUGUUAUCUAACCAAUAAACUUGUUGUGAAGAAGAUGCAGGAAUCCAUAUUUUAAAUUAUCUUUUCUCAGUCAUGUCGCAUUUAAUUUGUCUACAUUGAUUAAAUUUCUUAUUUCAUGUUCAGUUACAUUAAAUUAAAUUUUGCCAAUUCAGUUCAUUUUAUCUGGGCUAAUGUAUAUAAAUCUACAAAAAAUGUACAUGUAGAUAAACAUCAAAUAGAUAUUUUAGCAAUUCUUAGUCUUUAAUCAUGUGCUAACAGCUUGCUGAUCAUGAUCAUUGAUCAAUGGAAAUAAAUUGGUCACAUGAAUUUAACCUUUUGAAUACAUUUUUGCGCCUGUCCCAAGUCAGGAGCCUCUGGCCUGUGUUAGUCUUGUAUUAUUUUUAAUUUUAGUUUCUUUGUUACAAUUUGGGUUUAGUAUGGCGUUCAUUAUCACUGAACUAGUAUAUAUUUGUUUAGGGGCCAGCUGAAAGAUGCCUCCGGGUGCGGAAAUUUCUUGCUGCAUUUAAGACCUGUUGGUGACCUUCUGCUGUUGUCUGCUCUAUGGUCGGGUUGUUGUCUCUUUGACACAUUUCCCAUUUCCAUUCUCAAUUUUAUAUCUAUAUAUAUAUAAGAAAUGCAGAUUGUUUUUAAAUGUGCAUUUGUUUGUAACUUACAUUCAUAAACAUUGUGAAUGUCUUUUAUUACAGUCAAAAGUAAUUUGUGUUUUGUCAUCUAUGUCUGAUGUCUUCUGAAAAUUUCCAACAUUUAUUAGUUGUGUUGUUUUUAAGGCUGUGAAUCAUUUGUUCAAUUUUAAAUUUUAUCUUAUCAUAUAGCUUAAAGCUCAGUAAACAAGAAAAUACACUCCUUAACAGAUUUCAGAGAAUAUGAGAAGCGAUUAUCAUGGUAUAAACAGCCAAUCUGGACUUGCAGAUGUACCGGUCACGUAAAUCUAAACUCACCAAGCAGCUUGGG